AGUCUCACGUAUUUGUUCCUCGGAACGCAGAUAUCGUAGGACACGCUCAGUGAGAACAGAACAGACGCUUGAUGCUGACAAAAGGGGGAAGCCUGCUUGAUUUUUAUUUUUAGUGCGAAUACGAACUGUGAAAGCAUGGCCCUUCGAUUCUUUAGGUUUGAGAUAGUUUCAGAUAGAG
rfam:Eimeria maxima Weybridge genomic scaffold, Emw_scaff1850